rnacentral:rRNA from 1 species
UAAUGUAUGGGGAUCUGCCCGGAUAGAGGGGGAUAACUACUGGAAACGGUGGCUAAUACCGCAUAAUGUCUACGGACCAAAGCAGGGGCUCUUCGGACCUUGCACUAUCGGAUGAACCCAUAUGGGAUUAGCUAGUAGGUGGGGUAAAGGCUCACCUAGGCGACGAUCUCUAGCUGGUCUGAGAGGAUGAUCAGCCACACUGGGACUGAGACACGGCCCAG